AAAUUGAAGAGUUUGAUCAUGGCUCAGAUUGAACGCUGGCGGCAGGCCUAACACAUGCAAGUCGAGCGGAAACGACACUAACAAUCCUUCGGGUGCGUUAAUGGGCGUCGAGCGGCGGACGGGUGAGUAAUGCCUAGGAAAUUGCCUUGAUGUGGGGGAUAACCAUUGGAAACGAUGGCUAAUACCGCAUGAUGCCUACGGGCCAAAGAGGGGGACCUUCGGGCCUCUCGCGUCAAGAUAUGCCUAGGUGGGAUUAGCUAGUUGGUGAGGUAAUGGCUCACCAAGGCGACGAUCCCUAGCUGGUCUGAGAGGAUGAUCAGCCACACUGGAACUGAGACACGGUCCAGACUCCUACGGGAGGCAGCAGUGGGGAAUAUUGCACAAUGGGCGAAAGCCUGAUGCAGCCAUGCCGCGUGUAUGAAGAAGGCCUUCGGGUUGUAAAGUACUUUCAGUUGUGAGGAAGGGUGUGUAGUUAAUAGCUGC
rnacentral:rRNA from 1 species